CCAGGGACCCUCCAAGAAGCUUCCAGGCCUUCAACCUCAGACUGGUGCUGUAUCCUUGAUCUCUCUUCAGAUUCUACAACUUCCAGCUUCUCAGACUGAUCAGCUACUGGGUUUCCAGCUCUCCAGUGCACAGAUCUGGUACGAUGUGACUUCUGGCUCUUCCCCAAAGUCAAAGUUGCCAUAAAAGGUAAAUGUUUUGAUUCAGUUCAUGACUUUAAGGCAACCAUAACAACACAACUAACAGCACUCAUGAAAGAGAAUUUCCAGGCGGACAUGAUGGCACAUGCUUCAAAUCCUGGCACUCGGGAGGCUGAGGCAGGAGGAUUGCUCUAUGUUUAAGGCAGCCUGAGCUAUGAAGUGAAUUUAAGUCCAUCCAGCCUGAACUCCAUAGUGAAACCUGUCUCAGAAAGAAAGAAAGAAAAAGAUUUCCAGAACUGCUUCAGAAAGUGAAAAGAUCGCUUGUGGAGCUCGAUGGUUAGCUCUGUGCUCCGGGGAUCCUGAAGCAGGUGAAUUGCUGCUCUGAGGACUCAUCUUUCAAAGUGGAUUCUUCCUGAACAGAAUCACAAAAGGUCCAUCCUCAUAUCCUGCCCAAAAGGUCAUCAUGGACCCUUGGAGCACAUCAGCUCUGAAUUCAAAGCCCCUUUCCGGAGACUCUGAGAGGGCACUGAGAGUUCUUUUCCCCGACCAGAAACCCUUCCCUUCUCCUUGUGGUGGGCCAGUCCUCAGCUUGCUGGGCUCUGCUUCCCUCUUUUGGGCUCUGUGUAUGGAAAGAGCUCUCUGGGGUUGUGUCUCCCAAAUCCUGGGACUUUGGAGGAGUCCCUGUGUCCACUUGGAGGUCUUGGUGGGAAACAGGCAGGAGGAAAGGAGAUGCCAAUGAGUCUGUCUGUUCCUAGGUACCCUGCCCAUUCUGCAGAAAACAUUUUCCACAUGCCAGUCCCCGCAGACAGCCAAGCAUAGCCCCUGCCUUCUGGGCCGCCCUGGCCACUGGAUUCUGACAACCUGCUUCUGCCUGAGUCCAUCCCCUUGUCCCACAUGUAUUCCUUGUGGAAUAUGUGAAGAGAUUUGUACCUUUCUGUUUAGACUCUGAUUGAGGUAGCAGGUAUGGCGAAGGCGGUAGAGAUUUUGUGUCUGGAGGGUAUAAUAUAGGGAAGAAGAGAAGACAGCUAGUGGUCUACACCAUAAAGCCUUCACUAGCCAGCCUUCCACUGUCCACCUCCAAGAAAUAGGGCAGAGCCAUCGCAGCAGAGGGCCAAAAACAAAGGAGAGGAUCAAAUUUACAUCUCUGGCCCAAACCUAAUUACUAAUUUGAUAGGAUUAAAAGGUGAGGCCUAAAUGGUUGCACCAAGAGGUCAGAACCCAUCUGGCUAGAAUUAGGACCCUUAUAAAAGGGCUUGAGGGAGAGUUUCAUCCCUUUUCUCCUCCAGUCAUGUGAGAACACAGCACUGGUCCCCUCCAGAGGAAGCAACAUUCAAGGUGCCAUUUUGGAAACAAAGUCCAGGCCCUCAUGAGACUCUGAACCUGCCAAUACCUUGGUAGGACCUUGAUAGCCUCCAGAACUCUCAAAAGUAAAAUAUAUUAUUUAUAAACUCCCUGGCCUCAGAUUUGUUUUGGCAGAACAAAUGGACUAAAACAGAAGCAAAUACAUCUGAACAUUAUUACACUGAUGGCUUUGCCCAGUGACCAAGGUUUCCUAACCUUGUCAUUCUUGACAUUUUUGAUGUGAGAGGCUGACCUGUGCAUCACAGGGUGCUGAGUGAUAUUCCUGGACUCAUUCAUUUCAAUAGCAUAUCACUAUGACACCAGAAGUGUCUUCAGACAUUUCCAAACAUUUCCUAGGAGACAAAACCACCCCUCUACACAAACACUCACACUACUGGUGAGAUUCACAGCCCUACACUUAAGUGCAGAAUUCAUGGCCCUGUAGCAAUUCUCCUGCUGCAUUAGACCAGGUGAGGUCAACUUAGACAAGGAGCAUGUAAUUAUUGCCAUACACUCUAAGAAAGCCACUAAUAUGAGGCUAAGUGCUUCAGAAGUACAAAGCUCCAACAGAUCCACCUGCCAUGUUCUUUAUCCUCUGCUUUGCUCCCCUCAUUAAUCAAGUGAAGUCAGAUAAAAGCAAUUGCUUUCAGAAGGGUAGAACAAGGAGGAAAGAAGGAAGGAUGUUAUGGUCUCGAGUCUGGAUAUCCCCCAAAGCCUUGUGUAGUCAAGGAGGCAGGCUUCUAGGCUUUGUGAAUGACUCGUGCUCCAAUGCUGGGAUUAGGGGGGCACCCAAGUGGAUGUGGCCUACACACAAUGUACGGGACAUAAAGAAUCUUCUCUCCAUGCUCCUCCACUUUUUCUCUUGUUGCUAGUACUGUUUGCUGCUGUCAUGAGCUGUUGGCCUCUGCCAUGUACCACUCUGCCUUGAAGCCAGCCAGCUGAUUAUGGACUGAAACCUCUAUGAACUGUAAGCUAAAUGAACCUCUCCUUCCUUCAUUUUGGGUGUCAAGUAUUUUGUCUCAGCAGUGAAAGAAAAGUAACCAGCACAGAGGUUCCAGCUUCAUGAGUUUGCUAGCAGCACUGGCCCUUUACAUAAGCGCUUCAGAGUUUGGGGAUAUAAUCCUCUGCUUGAGGAUACAAGGUCAUAGACUAGAACCCAUAGGUUCAAAACCUAGCUCUGGCCUUUACAUCUGUAUAAACUGGACAGAUUAUUUUACCUUUCUGAUGCAACUUGCCUAUUUGUCAAAUGACAAUAACUCCUUACAUACUGAUACUUUCUAGAGAAUUAAACGAAUGACUAUAAAAUGCAAAAAAUGCACUCGCUAGAUUAGAAUUUGGCCAACAGUGGGUCAUGCUCAAGUCUGUUCACCUAAGGUUGCCAGAUUUAACAGGUGCAAUAUCUGAUCUGGCCACUCUACCUACUGGUCAACCGCUCUAUGAAUGAAGUUUAACUGGCACCGCCAUGCCUGCUCAUUUCCAUGGCAUCUACACAAGGCAGAAUGGCAUAGGGGGGCCCUCAAGCCUCAGUUCUUUCCCUUCUCAUUCCUCACAGGACUCCUUGGCACUGGGUGGUGGGCAAUGUCUAUAAGGGCAACUGUAACAGUCAUGGGGUGCCAUUGGAAGAGGCCCAGUGGUUAUUACAAGGGUUCUGGACACAGUCAGAUUUUCCCAAGUCAAACUCUGUCUCCUAUGGAGCAUCAGCCCAGUCAUUUAACUGCAUGUGCCUCAGUUUCUUCCUCUUUGAAAUGCAAAUACAUCGGCACUGUUACUGGAAUCAGAGUGUGCUCAGGGAGGCUGGUGGUCGGGUGUGACCAGGCACCCAGAGAAUCUUCUCAUGGAGUCCUUGCAGAAAAACAUGCAACAAGCAAUCAUGUAGAAAAUGAAGACCACAGUUCUUGGAGUCUGGGGGUGACUUGGAGAUCCUGCUGUCAUUCUAAAAGGACCAGAGCUGCCAUCAUAUCAUACUAUUGCUUCUCUUCCUAUAACAAGCAAGCUUACCCUUCCCAGCACUGCUGUGAGCACUGAGACAGGAGUGGGAAUGGUCCAGCCACAGUCAGUGCUUUGUUCCCCACGCCCUUACCCUUUCUCUUUCCUGCUGCCCAUCUACAUCCGGGUCCUGACCCUGGCCAGCCCUGGCUGGUCAUCCCACUCAUGAUGCAGCACAGACUCCCGGUGCCAAGCCCUGCUGUGCUCCUCUCCCCCAGGGUUUCUCAUUUUCUGCCUCCCUUUAUAACAGCACUGUUUCAUUCAGUAACCGUGUCUCCUCCCCGCUGCCCCCUAUCACAUCUCAGCUCCCCAAAUCUUGCAAAGCCUACAGAAAUCAGAGGGGGGACAGCUACUCAUUCCUGUACCUUGGCUGCCUUCCUGGGAUCUGGCCGAGGAUCUUGGGCAUCUGAGGUCCUGGCAGAAUCCCACAGAAGAUUAGUGUGCUAAUGGCCCCAUAAAAAUGACAUUUAUGGGGAGGGCUUUAUUUCACUUUACCUCAGCUCCCCUCUUUUAAUGAGGCUGGCUCCAUCACUGGAAGUCUCAGGAGGUGGACAAACUGUGGUUUCAAGUUCCAGGCUCUGGUUGUGAGAGCUUAGAAAGGACUUUUGUUCCCAGUGAGGGUGAUUGCAGAGCAGGGCACAAGUGCCAAGGAGGACUGUGGGUUGGGGGCUCUGUGGGGACUAAAUCUUUCACCAAAGUUCCCCACGUCCUCCCCAAAGUCCAAGGUGCUUCUCAAGGGGAAAGUCUUGAAAAUCCAGAAGCAUUAGUGAGUCUCCCAGGCUCGGGACCAGCCCUCACCAACCACCCAUCCUGUGACCAGUAGGCGUUCAUUCUCAACCACAGACCAACCCGGCUCUCGCUGGCUUUGGCUUGUGGCCUCAAAGCAGCCAGUCCAACCAGGAAAUGGAGCUAAGUUCUGCCAACACAAGCCUCCUGGCCAUGCUGUCCACCUUCCCCUCUUCACUGCUCAACCCGCAAGCUGCUUGCUCUUCUCUCUGCCAUAUUUCUAGCGUAGGUCCUCAGCUCGGACACCAGCAAUGUCUGGGUGCAAGUCCUACCCUUGCCACCUUCUAGUUGCCCACUGAAAUUUCAUCUUCCUCUCUGGGUCUCAUUCUGUUCAACUUUAAAAUGGGGCGAACGUGCAGACAACACUGGUGCCAUGGGGUGCUAAGACUAAAAAGGAACUUCAUGGUAAACAGAAACUGCUUCAUUACAACAAAGUGAGAUGGUUCAAAGCAACCUUGACUUUGGAUGUACUCCCGGGUGCACACCAGGAGUGAAGUCUUGGACCAGCACCCCAGUUCCAUCUCAGAGCUGGCUUCUGAUGCACCCCGUCUGUAGCACCCUGAAAGCCAAGCUUGCAUCUCCACUUUCACCAGGACGUGGGGGAGGAAAAGAAGGAAUAGCAGCCAUCAAAACCCCCAGCUGGCGAGGGCUUGGAUGUCUGUCAGGAGCGGACCCCAGAGGCCCAGAAGAGGAACUGACAUGGGUCCUGCACCACAGUGCCAGGCAGGAAGCAGAGGCUGUGAGAGCGAGCAGAGAGAAAUGUGAAGGCCACUGCUGUGAGACAGCACACAGGUUCCACAGCUUUCUGUCCUCAGCAAAGGGAGAACUAGGAAAGAGGGAGAGCCACCAAUUUGCCAGGUCUUUUAGUGCAAGGUCCCUAUCCUCUGCAGACCUGUGGCUGAGGGCAGAGAGCGGGGAAGGUGUGUAGAACUCUUCCAUCUGAGCCACCGGUCCAGCCUCCCUCUCUCUGUCCAGAGACUGGGGUUCUUCCAAGCCUGUGUGUGUGGUUCCGCCAAAUCCCAUCAGGCAUGGUCUCUAGGAGCAAGUUCUAUCCUGGCCUCAGCCGAAAUCCCUCAAGGGGCCCCCAGCAGAGAAUCAGCCUCAGCACAAUUCACCCCAUCAAGGUCACUGCCUGUGAAGAAAAUGACAGGCUCCAUGUCACAGCUGUGGGAGAGACAGUGAGAUGCUGUCUGCCUGGGGAACUCCAGAAUCUUCUUGUGAACAGACAUGGACCCAAAUAGCUACCAAGCAAAGCAAUGAGUAAUAAGUGAAUGAAAAUAGUCUUUGAAGAAGAAAUGCCUGUGGGAAACAUCUUUAGCUGGAGUGGUCGAGAAGCUUCCAGAAGGAGGAGGUAUGGGAGCCAAGGCUUCAGAGACCAAAGCGCUAAGCAGGGCUGUCCAAGAGACACAUUAUUUAAACUCUAAUGAGAGCCACAUGUAGAACUCUAUUUUUUUUUAGUAGCCACACUAAACAGAGUAAAAGGAAUAGAUGAAAUUAGUUUUAAUGGUAUUACUUAUUUGGGCCCUAAAUGAUUUGAAAGAGUUUAAUGCUGCAAUAGUAAAAAUUAAUUAAUUUACUAUUUUAAAAUCUUGUUUUCAGAUUAAGUUUAAAAAUCUGGUGUAUAUUUUACACUCACAAGGGGUAAUCAAAAAAUGCAUUGCCAAAAAUGAUAGGAUACGUGUGUUUAGAGCUGGGGGAGUACUUUGAGUAUUUAGAGGGGAAUUAAGGGCAAUGUAUCUCUUACUGUAAUAAGUGAUUAAAAUUUAAGCACCCUCUGCACUUUUUGUCAGACCUCAUUGAUCAAACAUUUAUGGCACUUUCUGCUGAAUAAAAACAUUACAGUGUGUCCUCAUCCAACCCACUCAGCAGAUCCAGCUCUGUGUGUCUUCUGGCUCCUCCCCAA